CCUACGGGAGGCAGCAGUGAGGAAUAUUGGUCAAUGGCCGAGAGGCUGAACCAGCCAAGUCGCGUGAGGGAAGACGGCCCUACGGGUUGUAAACCUCUUUUGUCGGGGAGCAAAGCGAGGCACGUGUGACUCAUUGAGAGUACCCGAAGAAAAAGCAUCGGCUAACUCCGUGCCAGCAGCUGCGGUAAUACGGAGGAUGCGAGCGUUAUCCGGAUUUAUUGGGUUUAAAGGGUGCGCAGGCGGAGGUGCAAGUCAGCGGUAAAAUUGCGGGGCUCAACCCCGUACUGCCGUUGAAACUGACUCCCUUGAGUGAUCGAGAAGUAUGCGGAAUGCGUGGUGUAGCGGUGAAAUGCAUAGAUAUCACGCAGAACUCCGAUUGCGAAGGCAGCAUACCGGCGCGCAACUGACGCUGAUGCACGAAAGCGUGGGUAUCGAACAGGAUUAGAUACCCCUGUAGUC
rnacentral:rRNA from 1 species